rnacentral:rRNA from 1 species
GCUAAACGCGAAGAACCUUACCAGCUUUUGACAUGUCCGGUUUGAUCGGCAGAGAUGCCUUUCUUCAGUUCGGCUGGCCGGAACACAGGUGCUGCAUGGCUGUCGUCAGCUCGUGUCGUGAGAUGUUGGGUUAAGUCCCGUAACGAGCGCAACCCUCGCCCUUAGUUGCCAUCAUUCAGUUGGGCACUCUAAGGGGACUGCCGGUGAUAAGCCGAGAGGAAGGUGGGGAUGACGUCAAGUCCUCAUGGCCCUUACGGGCUGGGCUACACACGUGCUACAAUGGCGGUGACAAUGGGAUGCAAAGGCGCGAGCCCUAGCAAAUCUCAAAAAGCCGUCUCAGUUCGGAUUGGGCUCUGCAACUCGAGCCCAUGAAGUUGGAAUCGCUAGUAAUCGUGGAUCAGCAUGCCACGGUGAAUACGUUCCCGGGUCUUGUACACACCG